UGACGGCGUCGUGGAUUCGGCGUGAUUGACGAUGGUUCGUGGAUUCGGAUCGUGAGCUUCGUGGAUUCAGAGUGGAGGCAUUUCGUGGAUUCGGAACGUAGCGUUCGUGGAUUCGAACGUGAGGGAGUGGACAAUCCGGAGAAUUGCGCGAGAUUCAUAGGAGGUUAAGAGAGGUUGAGUCUGUGGAGUCGGUAAUCACCUUGUAAUCUUUUCUCUUAGUGAAUUAUUUUUUUGCGUGUUCGUCCCGUGGGUUUUUCUCCAAGUUGGAGUUUUUUCACGUAAAUCUCGGUGUGA
rnacentral:lncRNA from 1 species